rnacentral:rRNA from 1 species
UACGUAGGGUGCAAGCGUUAAUCGGAAUUACUGGGCGUAAAGCGUGCGCAGGCGGUUUUGUAAGUCUGUCGUGAAAGCCCCGGGCUUAACCGGGGAACUGCGUCUGAUACUGGAUGGCUUGAGUUUGGGAGAGGGAUGCGGAAUUCCAGGUGUAGCGGUGAAAUGCGUAGAUAUCUGGAGGAACACCGGUGGCGAAGGCGGCAUCCUGGACCAACACUGACGCUGAGUGAGCGAAAGCCAGGGGAGCAAACGGG